rnacentral:rRNA from 1 species
UACAGAGGGGGCGAGCGUUGUUCGGAAUUACUGGGCGUAAAGGGCGCGUAGGCGGCCUGCUAAGUCAUACGUGAAAUCCCUCGGCUCAACCGAGGAACUGCGUCUGAUACUGGUUGGCUUGAAUUCGGGAGAGGGAUGCGGAAUUCCAGGUGUAGCGGUGAAAUGCGUAGAUAUCGGGAGGAACACCAGUGGCGAAGGCGGCUUCCUGGACCGGUUCUGACACUGAGGAGCGAAAGCGUGGGGAGCGAUCCGG